AAACAGACACGUGACUCACACGCGCAACACACAUCCUCUCUAAACCCUAACGCAAAACGGCGUCGGUUGCUGAAGUCUCGUUUCAUCUCGUCAUCGGCGGUUGCUCUUCGCAGCUCUUCUUUUGCUACAAUGGUGUCGUCCGGCAAGAAGACGGUGACUCUCUCGCCCUAUAUAUAUAUAUAUACACAUACAUGUAAUAUUGAAUAUUGUAUUGCUAUUUUGGUUAAUUUGGAUCUAUUGAAAAAACUGACCUAUAUAAAAGAAUUGGGGAAAUUGCAGAAGAAGACUCAUGAGAGCAUAAAUUAACAACCGGUUGGCGGUUGUGAUGAAGAGUGGAAAGUACACUCUUGGUUACAAGACUGUUCUCAAAACGAUCAGGAGCUCCAAAGGUUUGAAUUUUCUGUUUCAGAUUUUCUUAUAUUGUUUACUAUUACUAGUUUCAUAGAUUUUACAAUUUGAAUGUGUAUGUGAAAAUCGAAAUGUAGGUAAAUCUAUAUACUUUAGCAUGCUCCAAAUUUUCCUGCGUUUUGUGUAAUUUCAUUUGUGAAGCUCGGUAGGUUUGAAUGUUUGAUUGAUUUUUUUAGCGCACGAGUGAUAUCAGAAGCUGAUUCUAAAAUUUGUGGUCAUGUAUGCAUUUUGACUGCGUGUUAAAGAGGGUAAUUUUUCGAGGAUGAUUUCCGGUCGAAAAACGCAGCGGAAAUAAUUUUUUUCGAAAUUAUAAAUGAAUUAACUAUUAUUCCAUUUCAACGGCAUUAACAGCUUCACGUUAACAUGAUGAGAGAGCGAGAAAAGAAUAUCAUACCUUUUCGCACUCUGGUUGAUGUCGGGAUUAGAAGUAAUCGGUUGCUUGCAGGGAUCCAAGCGUAUCCCCUCUAUCAAGUCCACACUUUAGCGACCGUGUCAAGCGAUUAGUUCUUCGCUAGCAAAACUAAGCACUCUUGUGUUAUAGAGAAAUCAGAGAGAGAGAGACCGAGCAGAAAGAGCAUAGAGAAACAAAACAAUGCAGAAGACGUUUUUUAACUCUUGUAGAAACGAUCCCAAUUGACGCAAUAAUUAACUCGCUUAAUUAUGGAAUUAAUAUCUUUCUGCGGUUACGUCGGCUGGACAGCCGCCUCUUUUCUUCUUCUCCAAUCCGGAGAGUAUCCGGAUAUCUUAUAUCCGAAUACAGUUUUAUAUAUAUAUAUAUAUAUGAUAUGAUUUUACAAGAUUUAAAAUUAAUCUAAUUAACUUAAUCUCUAACUAAAUUAAUCCAAUUAAUUUAAUAUAGAACCAGACUUAAAUUAAUUUAAAUUAACUCAUUAAUUUAGAACAAGUCUCAAUUUAAUUAAUCGAAUUAAUUAAUUAGAUUUAACUAUUAAAUCGAUUCAAUCUGACACGUUCUACUAAAUUGUGUGUGACCCUUUUAGGUUCACGACUAGCAUUAGUAACAGGCUUGUAACACAUUACAACUUAAUUAAUUUAUUUGAUAAAUUAAUUAACUUGAAAUUAACCAUUUAAUUUCAAGAACCUAUAAACCAUGGGAACAUCUAGCAAGUAGCAUGGCCAUCUAGCACUAUGUGAAAUAGCGAGUAAACCUAUUUUGAUUAUGAAUCGUCAUACACGUACGGUCUUUCUAUCAUCUAAUUUUCCAAUUGGAUAUUGAGUAUGGAAUUAAAUCGAAAACUCAAAAUAAUCCAAUAAUCAUAUUUUCAAUUGAAUUCAAUAACUCUUUAAUGAAUCAUAAUUCAUUAUGCCCUGGCCAAGGUCUUCAAGUUAUGAACAAUGAAAACUAUAGGAAAUUCUCUUGUCUCACAAGUAAUAGAUUCUUUAUUGACCACUCAUUAAUCUCCACAUAAGUUCAUAUUUCAUCCAACAUAAAAUCUUUAGUGAUUGACUAGCAAUCAGAAAAUAUAUCAAAAUAAAAUAGAACUAAUACAAGAUUACCAUGGUGUCUCAAGUCAAAGGACUAAUCGUAUACUAUCAUAAUAUAGUACUCCCUCCGUCCACGAAAUGAGUACCCAUUUGUGGACGGCACGGGUUUUAAGAAAUGUAUGUAGUGUAGUGUGAAUAGUUUAAGGGUCCCACUUUUUGAGUGUAUUAAUUAAAGAGAUGUGUGGGGUACACUUGCCAAAAAGGGAAAUGGGUACUCAUUUCGUGGACGGACGAAAAAGGAAAUAUGGGUACUCAUUUCGUGGAUGGAGGGAGUAAUUCUUAUUUCGAUAAAACAAAUUCCUUAUAAAAAUUUCUAUCGGGUCAGUUCGGUGUACUUGUUCUCCAACAAUCACCCACAUAUAUACACUUACGUCAACUACGUUAAUGUUGAUGAAACGCAACAUUCUCAUCUUAUGAGUAUGUAUCAUAUGUGUGAGCUAUUCCCAACAAUUCAAUAUCUUCUACCAAUGAUUUCUCGAAUCAAGUGGUAUCUUCGCAUAAUGUGUUUAGAUCUUUGAUGAGAUCUUGGUUCUUUAGCUUGUGCAAUAGCUCCAUUGUUAUCACAGUAUAUAGGUACUGAAUCAACAGCUGAACGAACGACACCCAACUCUUGAAUGAAAUUCCUUAUCCAAACAACUUCUUUUGCAGCAUCAGAUGCAGCAAUAUAUUCAGCUUCUGUGGUGGAAUCAGCAACCGUUUCUUGUUUAGAACUUUUCCAACAAAUUGCUCCACCAUUUAAAGUGAAUAUAAAUUAGAUUGAAUCGAUUUAAUAGUUAAAUUGAAUUAAUUAAUCCGAUUAAUUAAAUUGAGACUUGUUCUAAAUUAAUGAGUUAAUUUAGAUAUUCAAUUAAAUUAGUUUUAUUGAAUGUAAUCAGAUUAACAAGUCUGGUUCUAUAUUAAAUUAAUUGGAUUAAUUUAGUUAGAGAUUAAGUUAAUUAGAUUAAUUUUAAAUCUAGUAAAAUCAAUAUAUAUAUAUAUAAUAUAUAUAUAUAACUGUAUAUGGAUAUAAGAUAUCCGGAUACUCUCCGGAUUGGAGAAGAAGAAAAGAGGCGGCUGUCCAGCAGACGUAACCGCAGAAAGAUAUUAAUUCCAUAAUUAAGCGAGUUAAUUAUUGCGUUAAUUGGGACGUUUCUGCAAGAGUUAAAAAACGUCUUCUGCAUUGUUUUUUUUCCUCUGAUGCUCUCUCUGCUCGGUCUCUCCUUCUCUGAUUUCUCUAGAACACAAGAGUGCUUAGUUUUGCUAGCGAAGAACUAAUCGCUUGACAUGGUCGCUAAAGUGUGGACUUGAUAGAGGGGAUACACUUGGAUCCCUGCGAGCAACCGAUUGCUUCUAAUCCCGACAUCAAUCGGAGUGCGAAAAGGUAUGAGAUUCUUUUCUCGCUCUCUCAUCAUGUUAAUGUAAAGUCGUUAAUGCCGUUGGAAUGGAAUAAUAGUUAUUUCAUUUAUAAUUUCGAAAAAAAAUUAUUUCCGCUGCGUUUUUCGAUCCGAUCCCAACAGUGGUAUUAUCUUAUUUGUUAAUGUAUAAUUUGGUAACUAUGGAUCAUUGAGUUUCAUGUUCGACUUAAUUAUGAAUGUCUAUGUCGAUAUUACUCAUUGGUUGACGUUGUAGCUUUAUUGAAGUAUCUUGCCCGCGCUGAGGAGUCUUGAUUCUUUUUCUUCUUUGUUUUAUCUGCUUAAAUUUGUCAACUUUUUCUAUGUUGGAAUCUGUUUGUUGUCUUAGUUCAGCAUGAAGUUGCAGUGCAAGCUCAUGAAGUGUCUCGUUAUAGUUCAAGAAAAUGGCAUUAGGGAAAGUAGAUGACGCGUUCAACUCCCUUAUAAUGACCUAUCAAAUGGCUGAGCUGUUUAUUCUCUAUCCCAUUCACAACAUUACUUACCUUGUCACCCUAGAUGUGACUAGGAAUAGUUGUAAUGAUUUCAGUGGAUUCAGUUUCUAUGAAGGUUGUUCUCUGAUUAAUGUUGGAUUACUUUGUCAAAUGAUGCCGUUAAUUUGUAGACAAUGUUGAUCUGGGAAGUGCAUGCGGGAAGUAUUUCCGGGUAUGAUGCCUCAGCAUCGUACAACACCUAUAACCAAGAUUUUUCUGUCCUUUGCAAAAUCGUUUCAUGAUUGUUUUAACACGGGUAAAUCGUUUCAGGCACUCAGAUAUAAUCAACCAGUGACAUCUACAACGUCGUAUUUCUGUAAACAUCUAGAGGUGUUAUUCAGCUGUUUAAAAGCAGGAUAAGUUAAAUUAAUAUGGAUUUAUGUAGUGUUUGAUAUUAUGUGUUACUAAUAUGGUCAACUCCAGGUUUAUCCCAAGAUCCUAGCUUAUUUUGUGGGAUUAACCCACACUAAUUAUCCCACCACCCCUCCAUAGGCUACUAGAGGAAUGAUUCAUUUCAGCUAGGAGGAUUUAUUUCGUCCACAAAGAUUAGAUUCCGGUAAAAUAGUUUAUGUCACCUUUUAUAGCUCAGGAAUUCUGUAUUGUCAAGUUACUUGCUCCCUUUUAGCAUUUCUACUCGUACUGGUCUCUUUUAUUUGCUUUAUCUUAAUUUUGAUUUUGUUAAUUUGAGCAAUAUACUUAUUUAUUAUAUUUAAAUUUUG
rnacentral:lncRNA from 1 species